CGCGCCCUAGCCGAGGCGGCGCCCCGGCGAGGAGGCUCGAACUGCGCGCGAGCGUCUCACCUACCGUCACGGCCGACGCGCCCGACGAGGCGGCCGCGGAACAUUUGGUCGAACCGGCGCCAGAGACGAAGCUGAGCAAGCUAGUGUGUCCAAUCUGCUACUACCCCUUCGUGAGCGUGAGCAAUCCGUCAGGAGAUGCUACAAGCCUCGAGUGUUCUACCUGCAAAAAAUUCUACCACAUUAAGCAGGAUUACUAGGACCUUACAGUGGCAGUUGGUUCGAUUGAGUACUCGGAGUCCAAACCGGCAGCAACGAAAAUAUUCAGGUGGUUACUAUAAUUGGCCUAGUUUUUCUCCAUAUGGACCUAGAAAAGGGCUUGACAUGGACAGGUGCUACGCUUGCACUGAAUUCUUGAAGCAUCCAUGCCAUGGCUUGACUUAUUACUCAGGUGGCCAUGACUACCAAAGGAAAACAUAUCUAUUCUAGCUUUUUUUUUUACCAGUUGACUUCUCAUAUUAGGGAUCUGUAGCUUUGGAAGAUAACAUUGGAAUUAGUGUAUGAAGAGGCCCAAAUUCUGAAAAUUUCAAACAUAUUCUUCUCUUU